ncrna:unclassified sequences IS605-orfB-I RNA
ACCGCUUAUAAAUGUAUAGAACGCAAGACAGUUCAGCAUUUCCCUGAGUGGUUUAGAAUGAUUAGAAGUACAAUCAAUAAUACGGUUUGUGUAGCUAUGUUGAAAGUCGUUGAGAUUGUAUGGAAUAGGUUAAUCGUAAGACCUUAAGUUGAAAAACUUUAAAAUUAAUCUUAAAAUAAAGGGGAAGUAAUACUUUUUAUUACUUUUGAGUUACGGUGAU